GAUAAGAGACUGUGACGUGUCAGCGCAAAGAGUUUUAUUGAGAGCAAUUAUUUUUUAUAGCCCGAUUGUGUUCUUUCUCUUCCUCUUCCCCUCUCUCUCUGUCGAACAAGCAGAAUCUCUCAAAUAUUUUUUUGGCCCGAUUGAGAUUGAAUUCAGAGUCGAAUCAAUCGGAGGAGAUUGAAUCAGAUUGGAAUCAGAGGAGAUUGAACCUAUUUCUCAUGGUUAAAUGGACUAAACUAUGGAUACACAAGACCGUAAACAGUUCUGAGUUUCAUCUCUCAGUAUUUCGUCCGUAAUAGAAACCCAAUUGCUCCCAUAAUCAACAUCUUUCCCCGGAAUGAGCUGAAUGAAGACUGAUUUACAUAUAUAUACUCCAGUUUCAGAUUUCUGUUAACACAAUGUAAUUUGGUGGAAAGUUAAUAACUUUGGUUUUGCUGGUUGUAUCAUGUAGAUGGAGAAUAUGGUACACUUUCUCGCUGAAUUGGGGAUGAUGCAUUACGACACCUUGAUGUUCUGUCCCUCCAUGCUUGCUGCUUCAGCUGUUUACACAGCAAGAUGCUCACUGAACAAGUCCCCAGCUUGAAAUGAUACAUUGCACUUCCACACCGGCUACAUAGAAUUUGAGAUUUUUCUCUCUUGAGCGCUGCUUCUGAUUUGAAGAAGCCUGCUUCUUCUUAUUGGGUUUAGACAAAGGUUAACGCAGACGGGAGCAAAUGUUUGGGACUGAGGAAGAUGUGUCAGAAGAAGGAUUAAGCUUGAUGGUUAGCCGGAAACUGGUGAUGCUGAUGAAUGGAGAUGUUCUGCAGCUAGAGUAUAUGCCUUGUGGUCGGUACAAACAAGCCAGAGUUUACAUGUAAUCUAUGAUCCUUGACUAUGUUCAAGAGUUCUUGGUUUUAAAAAAUUUGGCACAAAUCUGUAUUACAAUUAAUCAUUUUUUCCAUUUAUGAAUUAUAU